UAUAUUUUGGUGUAUGUCGCACUUUGAAUUUUGAUUUCAAAAGAUUUAGUUUAAUUCUAAAAAAUAUAA
rnacentral:tRNA from 1 species